rnacentral:rRNA from 1 species
UACGGAGGGGGCUAGCGUUGUUCGGAAUUACUGGGCGGAAAGCGCGCGUAGGCGGCCCUGCAAGUCGGGGGUGAAAGCCCGAGGCUCAACCUCGGAACUGCCUUCGAUACUGCGGGUCUCGAGUCCGGGAGAGGUGAGUGGAAUUCCUAGUGUAGAGGUGAAAUUCGUAGAUAUUAGGAAGAACACCAGUGGCGAAGGCGGCUCACUGGCCCGGUACUGACGCUGAGGCGCGAAAGCGUGGGGAGCAAACAGG